UUUUGGCAUACUACAUGAACAUCUGUCAUGAAGAUGGUGUUGAUCCUUUGGUAGAUCCCCUAAAUCUCCCAGAUAACUACCCAUAUGUUCUGCCGCCUACUCCUUCUUCCCCAAACCCUUGUUUUUUCUAAAAAAUGUCUUAGCACUUGUAUUUAUAUCUAAGUGUGUAUGUAUGUCUUUUAUGUUUUUCUUGUUGUACUUCGUUUGUAGUU
rnacentral:lncRNA from 1 species